rnacentral:rRNA from 1 species
CCAAUAGCGUAUAUUAAAGUUGUUGCAGUUAAAAAGCUCGUAGUUGAAUUUCGAGAUCAAUUUGUCGGUCGUGCCUCGGUACGUACUGGCAUUAUUGGUUUCUCCCUUCUGAAGAACCGCGAUGUCAUUAAUUUGGUGUCGUGGGGAAUCAGGACUGUUACUUUGAAAAAAUUAGAGUGUUUAAAGCAGGCGCACGCUUGAAUACAUUAGCAUGGAAUAAUGAAAUAGGACGUUUGAUUCUAUUUUGUUGGUUUCUAGGAUCGACGUAAUGAUUAAUAGGGAUAGUGGGGGGCAUUAGUAUUCAAUUGUCAGAGGUGAAAUUCUUGGAUUUAUUGAAGACUAACUACUGCGAAAGCAUUUGCCAAGGAUGUUUUCAUUAAUCAAGAACGAAAGUUAGGGGAUCGAAGACGAUCAGAUACCGUCGUAGUCUUAACCAUAAACUAUGCCGACUAGGGAUCGGAUGAUGUUAAUUUUUUAAUGACUCAUUCGGCGCCUUACG